GCGCCCGUAGCUCAGCCCGGAUAGAGCGUUUGCCUGCGGAGCAAAAGGCCGGCAGUUCAAAUCUGCCCGGGCGCACCA
rnacentral:tRNA from 6 species